CCAUCAUGGUUGAGGUAGUAGCGAAACGUGUUGCGAAUCCACGUAUAAAUCCCGCUUAAAGUCAGUUGCUUGUUAUGUGAUUGUAGGAUCGCCAAACCGAUUAAUGUAGCAUAAGAACACGGUGGUUUUUCACCAGUAUCCACAAAGCCCGCCAUUUCAUCUCCAAAUAUCAUUUGUCGUAUACUGUCACUACUCAGGUUUUCUUUAUUCUCUUCACGA